rnacentral:tRNA from 1 species
GGAAUGUGGCUCAAGUGGUAGUGUGCUUGCCUAGUAUGUGUGAGGCACUGGGUUCGAUUCUCAGCACCA